ensembl:lncRNA
GUCCCUCGGCCUCGCCCGCGUCCGUGCCCUGAGCCCAGGCGCCCCGGAGCCAACUCUGGGAAACCCGCAAACUAUUGCGCUCAGCCGGUGCCCUACGCUCUCCACUUCUCCCUCCGCUAGACAACGUUCUCAGCGGGCGCUCGGCGGUUCCCCAGGCGGACGCGCCCGCUGGGCUAGCCUCCGUGCCCUGAGCUGGGCAAGCAGUCUGGUGGGAAAGAAGGUCCAGCCUCUGCCCUCCCCAGCAGGUCAUAAUGAGUAUGGAUUUCCACUCUGGAGAAGUCAACUGAUGAAGAACAGGGGUUGGCAAUCUUCCCGUUGGUGUAUUUUUGGUAAAUUGCUGACUCUGAUGCAGAAGGAUUGAUGUUCUUCCAGAGAAUCAAAGCCCCAUCAGUCUGAAUCCCUGAGUACGGAUCCCAUGGAGCAGAGACGGGACUGACUUGGGAUGGAUGUGUAGCAUAAAAAGAAACAAACCUUUGUUUUUCUAAGCCACCGGAGAUUGUUUUUUGCUGCCGCAUAAGGUAACCUAUGCUGACUGAUUCGAAGCAGGAGGUAAUUUCUGGCAGUAUAGAUAACUAGAUACUCAGAAGCCCUUCCAAGUACAAAAGAACUGGAUUUUUUGUUUGUUUCUCUGUUGUUGUUGUUGUUUUUCUUUGCUACAUGGCUUGCAGGAUCUCAGUUUCCCAACCAGAGAAUGAACUCAGGCCAUGGCAGUGAAAGUGCUGUGCUAAUUAUUGGACCACCAGGGAAUUUCCUGGAUCACUUUUUAAAUGGACUGUUGGGCUUGUAAGUAGUAAAGUCAUUGUCCAGGGACAGCUCUUAUCCUCAAAUAUGAGCUGAAACCAGAACUGGGAACCAAGAGGGCUAAGAAAAUAAGAAUACUGGGUUAUCCUAAGGGCUGGAACCAUUGCGGCACAGCAUGAACCCGAAAGUAUCAGAAGAACGGGAAGCCAAGAGCCUGACACUUCCUCCUUAGGCCAGGACCCUCUAAAAAGGGUGAAGUAUGUUCUCAGGUUGGUGUUUUCCUUCUGUUCCCAACAGAAUCAAAUACUCAGUGGGAAAGCCAAGAGUCACCAGGUAUGAGUUUGAAUCCAAGAUCACCAAGCACAGAAGGAGGCAGACCACCAAGAGAGAGUGAGUCACUGGAAAAACAAGCAUCUAGUUUAGACCCCGAGAAAUUUGGAUGUAUAUUUUCAUUUAUGAACGUGUUUAGAGCAAUUAUUAAGUGCUGGCUUCCCUGGUGGCUCAGACGGUAAAAGCGUCUGUCUACAAUGCGGGAGGCCCAGGUUCGAUCCCUGGGUUGGGAAGAUUCCUGGAGAAGGAAACGGCACCCCACUCCAGUGUCCUUGCCUGGAAAAUCCCAUAGAUGGAGGAGCCUGGUAGGCUACAGUCCAUAGGGUCGGUAAGAGUCGGACACGACUGAGCAACUUCACUUCACUUCUUCAGUUAAGUGCUAGCUCUGUUGUAAAGUUUUUUUCCCAAUUUUAACUUACUUAAUUCCCAUAACAACACUAUGAAGCAAGUACUACUGUUAUCCCCAUUUUAUAAAGGAAAAAACUGAGGCACAGGGAGACUAAGUAAUUUAUUCCGGGUCAACUUUUCUUAAAUGGUGUGUGUAUGCUAAGUCGCUUCAGUCAUGGCCAACUCUUUGCAACCCCAUAGACUGUAGCCCACCCAUCUGUCCAUGGGAUUCUGCAGGCAAGAAUAUUGAAGUGGGUUGCCAUGCCCUGCUCCAGGUGAUCUUUCUGACCCAGGGAUCGAACUCAUGUCUCUUAUGUCUCCUGCAUUGGCAGGUGGGUUCUUUACCACUAGCACCACCUGGGUAGCUUUAGUGGUAGAGCUACAAUCUGGAUUCAGACAGUUGGUUCUAGAGUCUGCACUCUUCCCACUACAUUCUGUUGACUUACUAACAUAGAAUGUCUACAUUUGACAAAUUUAAAUAAAUAAGAAGUGGAAAACCAAAGAUAAGAAAACAACAAAAGAUGAUUUGGAAAAGAAUAAAAAAGAGACAAAAUAAAAUGGUUGAAAGUAAACAUUUAAUGAACAUGUUAAAUAUCUGAAGAGAUAAUUGGCGAAUUCAAGAAUAUUUGAAGAAAACAUUCAAAAUGUAGCACAGGAAAAAAGGAAUGGAAAAUAAAGAGAAAUUUAUUUUGAUUCAUUUUGAUGUUUGGCAAAAAAAUUUAAAAAAAAAAAAGAAAUUUAAAGAUAUGGAAG